rnacentral:lncRNA from 1 species
UCCUCUCUCAUAUGAUCGGCCUUUGCAGGUGGAAAACUUAUUGGUUGAACCAGAUCCACCACGUCAUUGUAGACCAGUUCAACCGACGCUCGAUACGUCGCCGGGGAAAAAAAUAAGAAAUCGCCGAUAGAAACCGAGAAAUUAUUGCCCUGGACCAGAUCAGCGCAAAUCUCGUAGCACAUGCACGGUGGAUAACGCGCAAUCGGGACUUCGUAAGAUACAAGGG